UGUGUUUUCAACAACUGAUCAAGUUGAAAGGAAACUAGAACAUGACUGCUUGCAGACAAUCGAAGAAGUUUACUCCAGCCAACUGGAUCUCUGAGAUGCGCCACUGGAAGAAAUAGAUUGGGAACUAUAUACCGACGGAAGCAGUUUCAUCCAUGAAGGAAAAAGUCUAUCAGGACAUGCGGUAACUACUACUGAGAAGGAAACUCUUUACAAGAACUUCGUCAGUAUGUCUCCACAGCUGGACCCUUAGAAUUGGACACAGCAGCGCAUCCCUUCCAACCAGGAGAUUGGAUUGAAUAUAUAUAAAAUCACUGAGAAGUGGAAAGGACCGUAUCGAGUCAUUUUAAGAACACUUACAGCAGUAAAGGUCUGGGAGAAGAACCUUGGCUUCAUUAUUCAAGACUAAAGAAAGCACCAACAGGAAAUUGGAAGUCUAAAGAAACUGGCCCUUUGAAACUGAAAACCUGUAAGUAAGUUUCACGUUAUCUAUUUGGGAAAAUAAUUGUGUAAAGUUUAUAAUAUUGGGGUUGCUAUUAGGAAUAUUGUCAAGGGCAGUAAUCUUUUUGUGUGUUAUAGGGUUUAAGUAUUUUUUUUGAGGGGUUCUAAACACAAGAUAAACAAAAUGAAACAAUUAUUGUUUGAGCUAUUAAUCUUGAUAUUAACCGUUUCUGUAAUUUUGAUUAAAAAAAAAAAAAAAUUCUAGUUUUGGAAUUGAUUCAAAGUUUUGUAAAGACACAAAAUUUAACCUCGAUAACAGCCUGCCUUCCGAUUCCAAAGUCAGAUGAAAAUCUAGUUCCGUGGAGAACACUGACAUUGAAUUUAACCAAAACUUGAGAAAAGACGUAGAACAAUGAGAAUCAUUUUAGCAAAUUAAAUUGGAUGGAUUUAAAAGGCAAUUAUUUUUUUAAAUUUGAAAGAAGGAAUUAUAGCAUUUUGAAUUAUAA